UUAAGCGACUAAGCGUACACGGUGGAUGCCCUGGCAGUCAGAGGCGAUGAAGGACGUGCUAAUCUGCGAAAAGCGUCGGUAAGGUGAUAUGAACCGUUAUAGCCGGCGAUGUCCGAAUGGGGAAACCCAGUGUGAUUCGUCACACUAUCGUUAACUGAAUACAUAGGUUAACGAGGCGAACCGGGGGAACUGAAACAUCUAAGUACCCCGAGGAAAAGAAAUCAACCGAGAUUCCCCCAGUAGCGGCGAGCGAACGGGGAGCAGCCCAGAGUCUGAAUCAGCUUGUGUGUUAGUGGAACGGUCUGGAAAGUCCGACGGUACAGGGUGAUAGUCCCGUACACCAAAAUGCACAGGUUGUGAACUCGAAGAGUAGGGCGGGACACGUGGUAUCCUGUCUGAAUAUGGGGGGACCAUCCUCCAAGGCUAAAUACUCCUGACUGACCGAUAGUGAACCAGUACCGUGAGGGAAAGGCGAAAAGAACCCCGGCGAGGGGAGUGAAAAAGAACCUGAAACCGUGUACGUACAAGCAGUGGGAGCACCUUCGGGUGUGACUGCGUACCUUUUGUAUAAUGGGUCAGCGACUUAUAUUCUGUAGCAAGGUUAACCGUAUAGGGGAGCCGCAGGGAAACCGAGUCUUAACUGGGCGUUAAGUUGCAGGGUAUAGACCCGAAACCCGGUGAUCUAGCCAUGGGCAGGUUGAAGGUUGGGUAACACUAACUGGAGGACCGAACCGACUAAUGUUGAAAAAUUAGCGGAUGACUUGUGGCUGGGGGUGAAAGGCCAAUCAAACUGGGAGAUAGCUGGUUCUCCCCGAAAGCUAUUUAGGUAGCGCCUCGUGAAUUCAUCUUCGGGGGUAGAGCACUGUUUCGGCUAGGGGGUCAUCCCGACUUACCAACCCGAUGCAAACUACGAAUACCGAAGAAUGUUAUCACGGGAGACACACGGCGGGUGCUAACGUCCGUCGUGAAGAGGGAAACAACCCAGACCGCCAGCUAAGGUCCCAAAGUCAUGGUUAAGUGGGAAACGAUGUGGGAAGGCACAGACAGCCAGGAUGUUGGCUUAGAAGCAGCCAUCAUUUAAAGAAAGCGUAAUAGCUCACUGGUCGAGUCGGCCUGCGCGGAAGAUGUAACGGGGCUAAACCAUGCACCGAAGCUGCGGCAGCGACACUAUGUGUUGUUGGGUAGGGGAGCGUUCUGUAAGCCUGCGAAGGUGUGCUGUGAGGCAUGCUGGAGGUAUCAGAAGUGCGAAUGCUGACAUAAGUAACGAUAAAGCGGGUGAAAAGCCCGCUCGCCGGAAGACCAAGGGUUCCUGUCCAACGUUAAUCGAGGCAGGGUGAGUCGACCCCUAAGGCGAGGCCGAAAGGCGUAGUCGAUGGGAAACAGGUUAAUAUUCCUGUACUUGGUGUUACUGCGAAGGGGGGACGGAGAAGGCUAUGUUAGCCGGGCGACGGUUGUCCCGGUUUAAGCAUGUAGGCUGGUUGUCCAGGCAAAUCCGGAUAAUCAAGGCUGAGGUGUGAUGACGAGGCACUACGGUGCUGAAGUAACAAAUGCCCUGCUUCCAGGAAAAGCCUCUAAGCAUCAGGUAACAUCAAAUCGUACCCCAAACCGACACAGGUGGUCAGGUAGAGAAUACCAAGGCGCUUGAGAGAACUCGGGUGAAGGAACUAGGCAAAAUGGUGCCGUAACUUCGGGAGAAGGCACGCUGGUGUGUAGGUGAAGUCCCUGCGGAUGGAGCUGAGACCAGUCGAAGAUACCAGCUGGCUGCAACUGUUUAUUAAAAACACAGCACUGUGCAAACACGAAAGUGGACGUAUACGGUGUGACGCCUGCCCGGUGCCGGAAGGUUAAUUGAUGGGGUUAUCCGUAAGGAGAAGCUCUUGAUCGAAGCCCCGGUAAACGGCGGCCGUAACUAUAACGGUCCUAAGGUAGCGAAAUUCCUUGUCGGGUAAGUUCCGACCUGCACGAAUGGCGUAAUGAUGGCCAGGCUGUCUCCACCCGAGACUCAGUGAAAUUGAACUCGCUGUGAAGAUGCAGUGUACCCGCGGCAAGACGGAAAGACCCCGUGAACCUUUACUAUAGCUUGACACUGAACAUUGAGCCUUGAUGUGUAGGAUAGGUGGGAGGCUUUGAAGCGUGGACGCCAGUCUGCGUGGAGCCAACCUUGAAAUACCACCCUUUAAUGUUUGAUGUUCUAACGUUGGCCCCUUACCGGGGUUGCGGACAGUGUCUGGUGGGUAGUUUGACUGGGGCGGUCUCCUCCCAAAGCGUAACGGAGGAGCACGAAGGUUAGCUAAUCCUGGUCGGACAUCAGGAGGUUAGUGCAAUGGCAUAAGCUAGCUUGACUGCGAGCGUGACGGCGCGAGCAGGUGCGAAAGCAGGUCAUAGUGAUCCGGUGGUUCUGAAUGGAAGGGCCAUCGCUCAACGGAUAAAAGGUACUCCGGGGAUAACAGGCUGAUACCGCCCAAGAGUUCAUAUCGACGGCGGUGUUUGGCACCUCGAUGUCGGCUCAUCACAUCCUGGGGCUGAAGUAGGUCCCAAGGGUAUGGCUGUUCGCCAUUUAAAGUGGUACGCGAGCUGGGUUUAGAACGUCGUGAGACAGUUCGGUCCCUAUCUGCCGUGGGCGCUGGAGAAUUGAGGGGGGCUGCUCCUAGUACGAGAGGACCGGAGUGGACGCAUCACUGGUGUUCGGGUUGUCAUGCCAAUGGCACUGCCCGGUAGCUAAAUGCGGAAGAGAUAAGUGCUGAAAGCAUCUAAGCACGAAACUUGCCCCGAGAUGAGUUCUCCCUGAGACUUUAAGUCUCCUGAAGGAACGUUGAAGACGACGACGUUGAUAGGCCGGGUGUGUAAGCGCAGCGAUGCGUUGAGCUAACCGGUACUAAUGAACCGUGAGGCUUAACCUU
rnacentral:rRNA from 1 species